GCGGCACGAAUCGUAAAGCAGACGAACCACCCCCUCCUCCUUCUGUCGUCUCGGCCGCCGCUCCCCGUCGAAGCUUCUCGACCCGCUCUGCCUCUCAUCUGUCCUCCUCGUCUCUUCUUCCUCUUCCGGGGCGCGGAGUCGCUCGCAGUCACAGAAACAAUGAGUCGAUGGAACAGUUGCACCGUCUACUUGGGCAAUCUUCCCAACGACAUCCGUGAGAGGGAACAUGAGGAUUUAUUCUACAAGGAUGGAGUCACUCCACAUCACCUAGAUAGCACAUGUGGUUACCAUCCUAUAUGGGUGAUGCAAGAGGAUUUGCACAAGUAUGGCCGUAUAUUGGAUAUCGACUUGAAAUCCCUCCAAGGCGUCCAGUUUAUGCUUUUGUUGAGGUAAUAUACCGGUGUGAUGCUGAAGAUGCAAUUUAUGGCCAUGAUGGGUAUGACUUUUAUUAUCCAGGUGGAAUUAGCUCAUGGUGGAACAGGUCCUUCCUUUGAUCGAUUAAGGAGCUAUAGUAGUUCUGGACGCCGUGAGGCAGCUAGGCAUUCUAAUUACCGCGGUUUGUGUUUCUAACUUUACGCUUUACAAAUCUGAUUGGGAGUUCUCCCUGUUCUUACAUCUCUAGAUCGUGCAGUUAUGGUUACUGGAUUACCUUCUUCAGCAUCAUGGCAAGAUCUCAAGGAUCACAUGCGGCGAGCUGGUGAUGUCUGUUUCUCUGACGUGUAUCGUGAGGCUGGAGUUUAGUAGCGAAUCCUUCCAGUUCCUCUUUUGUUCCUUGUGAGUAUUCAUAUGAAUUUGGGACUAGUCAUUUAGAAUACAUAACUGUCACUCAAAGCGUGUUAUCUUUUAGUAGUCUCAACUGCUGCUGACAUUAUCGUUACAUGUUGCAGCAAUUAUUGGAAUAGUUGAUUAUAACAACUAUGAGGACAUGAAACAUGCAGUGAGUUUGACUGUGUCUUCCACGUUGUGCUAUAGAUAGCUGGUUUAAUAAUUGACACAGAGAUAUUGAAAUGCUUCUCCAUGCGCAUACACGUGCAUACAUUCCCAUGAAGAUACUUGCUUACUAGGCUUUGUUAUGUUAGAUUAGAAAACUCGAUGGUUCAGAGUUCCGCAAUGCAUUUUCACGAGGAUAUGGUUAUCUUCUAUUUAUCCCCUUAUUUCUUAACCAGUAGUCUGAAUUAUAUAUCUACAUGUUUGCCUCACCUCAUUGAAAUUCAAGAGCUAGGCAUUCUAAUUACCGCGGUUUGUGUUUCUAACUUUACGCUUUACAAAUCUGAUUGGGAGUUCUCCCUGUUCUUACAUCUCUAGAUCGUGCAGUUAUGGUUACUGGAUUACCUUCUUCAGCAUCAUGGCAAGAUCUCAAGGAUCACAUGCGGCGAGCUGGUGAUGUCUGUUUCUCUGACGUGUAUCGUGAGGCUGGAGUUUAGUAGCGAAUCCUUCCAGUUCCUCUUUUGUUCCUUGUGAGUAUUCAUAUGAAUUUGGGACUAGUCAUUUAGAAUACAUAACUGUCACUCAAAGCGUGUUAUCUUUUAGUAGUCUCAACUGCUGCUGACAUUAUCGUUACAUGUUGCAGCAAUUAUUGGAAUAGUUGAUUAUAACAACUAUGAGGACAUGAAACAUGCAGUGAGUUUGACUGUGUCUUCCACGUUGUGCUAUAGAUAGCUGGUUUAAUAAUUGACACAGAGAUAUUGAAAUGCUUCUCCAUGCGCAUACACGUGCAUACAUUCCCAUGAAGAUACUUGCUUACUAGGCUUUGUUAUGUUAGAUUAGAAAACUCGAUGGUUCAGAGUUCCGCAAUGCAUUUUCACGAGGAUAUGGUUAUCUUCUAUUUAUCCCCUUAUUUCUUAACCAGUAGUCUGAAUUAUAUAUCUACAUGUUUGCCUCACCUCAUUGAAAUUCAAGAUCUACAUGCUCUAAUCAGCUUAUGCUGGUAAUAGGUGAGGGAGUAUGAUGCUAGGCAUGGUCGCUCUCCCUCUAGAGGCUAAGAGGCAGAAGUUGCAACCGCUCUUACUCGUGAAGCAGAAGCCAUAGCUGUUCUUACUCAAGGAGCAGAAGUCACAUUUAUAGCAGAGUUGGAGUCCGAUAUCUAGAUCUGCUUCUCGGUCUUGCUCACCUGUUAAAGCAAGGUCUGAACAAUUUUAUUCUGAUGAAAUCUGAGUGAAGGCAGAUGCACUUAAAGCCGUGAAAAACAUGUCAACAUUUGUGGGAUUGAGAUGUUAUAGUAUUGACUAUGAAUGAUUAGAAUUAUAUUCCUUAAAAAAUUAGAAAUUCAGCUUUAUUGUUUGAGAUGAAUUUAGGAGUGUGCUUGUUCUACUUCUGCACUUGCCAGUUCCAGAAUGCAAAAGUUGUUACCUCUUGGGCCGUGGCUUUAGCUUUAUGCUAUGUCAGGCAACUUACAUGUGUUGAAAAUUCUAGUUCCAUUUUGGCCAGUACGAGGAAAUAUUUGCAGCAGCUA